CUAUACAUGCAAGUAGAACGCUGAAGGAGGAGCUUGCUCUUCUGGAUGAGUUGCGAACGGGUGAGUAACGCGUAGGUAACCUGCCUGGUAGCGGGGGAUAACUAUUGGAAACGAUAGCUAAUACCGCAUAACAGUAGAUAUCGCAUGAUAGCUGCUUAAAAGGUGCAAUUGCACCACUACCAGAUGGACCUGCGUUGUAUUAGCUAGUUGGUGAGGUAACGGCUCACCAAGGCAACGAUACAUAGCCGACCUGAGAGGGUGAUCGGCCACACUGGGACUGAGACACGGCCCAGACUCCUACGGGAGGCAGCAGUAGGGAAUCUUCGGCAAUGGACGGAAGUCUGACCGAGCAACGCCGCGUGAGUGAAGAAGGUUUUCGGAUCGUAAAGCUCUGUUGUAAGAGAAGAACGAGUGUGAGAGUGGAAAGUUCACACUGUGACGGUAUCUUACCAGAAAGGGACGGCUAACUACGUGCCAGCAGCCGCGGUAAUACGUAGGUCCCGAGCGUUGUCCGGAUUUAUUGGGCGUAAAGCGAGCGCAGGCGGUUAGAUAAGUCUGAAGUUAAAGGCUGUGGCUUAACCAUAGUACGCUUUGGAAACUGUUUAACUUGAGUGCAAGAGGGGAGAGUGGAAUUCCAUGUGUAGCGGUGAAAUGCGUAGAUAUAUGGAGGAACACCGGUGGCGAAAGCGGCUCUCUGGCUUGUAACUGACGCUGAGGC
rnacentral:rRNA from 1 species